AUGAUCCGGAUUGAGGUACUUGUAUCGUUGGUUGCUGGCAUCCUACUCUUCCUCGCGGUCUCUGGGUCCCACUGUCGCCGGUGCAGAAACUGGUUUUUCCAGAAAGGUGUCUUAGGCGCGUACGCCUUGUCCUUCUCACUGGCAAGGUAUACACUCGGUUCCAUGCAAUCUUCUGAGUUGAAGAGCAGCAUAUACCCUAUUUGGAUUAUAUCUCUCUUCAUGCUUCAUGCUUGCACCGACUCUAUCACAGCUUACAGUCUCGAUGACAACAGACAAGUAACAAGACUCGAAUACCAAGCUGUCAUGUACAAUUUAUACGUGGUGUUGCUUUUCGUCACAGUGCAGAAGGACUACAUCCCAUCAGUUGCUUUUAUUUCCUUAAUUGCUUUUAUCAGGUAUUUGCAGAGAGGUACAACAAUUAUGCUAGCAAGCCGCUCAUGGAAAUUGAACAAAAUGGUUGCUGAUUACAUGUAUGAUGAUGAAAAGCAUAAUAAGGAUGUAUUUGACCCAACCACCAUGGAACGUUGCAAUUACCUGGUUGACUGGCCCAUUAGCAAAUCCAAGUUUGUCGAUGCUCAAACAUCAUAUUCAGGAGAAUUAACAGUGGAAGAUCCAGAAGAAGUUGAAAUCAUUGACAUUGGGAAGGUAUGGCGGUGCAAGUCACUAGGCCCAGAGCUAAAGGAUGCAUGCCUUUCCAUCUCUCUUUUCCAUCUGUUGAGAAGGCGCUUCUUUGGAUUUGCCUGUGACGAAUCCAAAGACAGGGCACACAAUUUUUUCUUUGAAUGUCUUCUAUUGGAGAAAAAAUUAGAGGGUUCCACAGACUACAACAGGGUGUUCAAGGUGAUUGAGGUUGAGUUAGCAUUUAUGUAUGACUUCUUCUUCACCAAGUAUGCCACUAUUUAUUAUGGGUCAAUGGCUGCAACAAUUUGGUCAUUGAUUUCAGUCAUUGGCAUAUCUAUCAUGGCAUACUUUACUGCCAGGACUCCGUUGAAGAUUUCUCAGGGUGAUCGGCAGAUCUCGAGUACUGUUACUGAUGAUGUUGUUAUCACCUUAGUGAUACUUGGAUCCACCGCUUUACUUGAAUUCCUACAGAUGUUAUUUUUCUGGAUGGGAAUUUGGGGAAGAGUAUCCUUUGUUUGUAAGUAUAUCAGAGAACAAGCAAGAUUGAAGGGAACAACCUCACAAAGAUUUCUUGCCAAGAUUGGUGUGUGUCUUGCAUCUUCCAUCAUGGUAUUAAAGGCGUUUCUUGCCAAUAUUGGUGUGUCGUAUGCUUCAAACAGACACUAUUGGCAACACAAGAUUGGGCAGUACUCAUUACUUGAUUCAGUCAGCUGCAAUCCUAGUCGAUCAAUCCUUGCAAUCUUACAUUUAAUGUGUAUUUACUGA
rnacentral:rRNA from 1 species